rnacentral:lncRNA from 1 species
CCAGCUGGUAACUGUGUAGUCUCCUCUACUCCCAUCUUCCCAGCUCCAAAGGUUUACAGUUUUUUUCACAGAAGUAAUGCAAAAUAAAACAUGCAGUGACUCUCAGAGGAGACAAGUGAUAGGUUACAAGUCUUGGAUGAGUGAAGAUGAGAAGAUUUCUUGAAGAGAAGCAGCUUUAAGCCUGUUCUUGGAGGAGGGACGUCCAAGGAUGUUCAAUGAACUGAGAGGGGAAGAAUUGGUUCUUGGGAACUGCUGCAGGGAGCCUUGUUUGGAGAGAAUAUGGCCCUGGAGUGGACCCUCAGCACAUUGCAGUUUUUCUCUGGACCUAGUCUGGGAAGACAUGGUCUUAGCAAAGACACAAGUGGUUUGCGGCCAAAGAAAGUGCAAACAACUUGAUAAUGUGCCAUCACCGAUAUCCACCAGCACCCAGAGAAGCAACAAGCUACUCAGUGACGAUGUAAGAAUAGCCCAACAGCGACUGAGUCAAACCUGGGAAAACAGGAGAAGUUGUGGGUCCUGACUCCUCACAGUCUUGAGUAAUUCCAUCCUCUCCAGGGCUUCCACCAGAGGAAGUUGCUACUGUGUGUGUGUGUGUGUGUGUGUGUGUGUGUGUGUGUGUAUGUAUCUUUGAGGGGUAAAGAUCAAGAACUGAGAGAAGGAUACAUAGGACACAGAAGAAAGAGAAGACUGGAAUUUUCUUUUUCUUUUUUUCCAGUUUGUUCUCUCCAAAUGUUUAAAAAAUUAGGACUGAGAAGGUGUAGUGAAAUUCAGAAAAGAGAUGCUCACUAUAAUAUAAAAAAUUCAUCUAAAUCUUUCUCUAUCAAGAUUGGUAUCAUGCUGGUACUGUGAAGAAAGGGGUAUAAAAGAGGAGUCAGAAGAGAAGACAGAUGUCCUGGGCCGGGGGACAUGCACAGUGUCGAAAGUUUGUGGGAAAACAGCCUGACCAGAGUGGACAUCAGCAGGAAAUGAGGCUGGGUAAGGAGUGUAAAGCCACAUUUUGGAGAGUCUUAGAAACCCCACUGAGAUGAGACUUGUCACAAUUGUGUUGUUAUGAGUAGAGAAGAGACAUGAUGUGGUGGGGUUGGGGAGAUGAGGAGGAAUGAACAGAGGGCCCAGACAGGAGCUUUGGGAAAGCCCCACUCCUGGAAGGUGAGAGGAGGAGGGUCGAUGUGUG